AUACUUACCUGGCAGGGGAGGUACCAUGAUCACGAAGGUGGUUUUCCCAGGGUGAGGCUUAUCCAGUGCACUCUGAUGUGCUGACCCCGGCGAUUUCCCCAAAUGUGGGAAACUCGACUGCGUCAUUUGUGGUAGUGGGGGACUGCGUUCUCGCUCUCCCCUA
rnacentral:snRNA from 1 species